UACACAACUCUUCAGUCUACAACAGAACCAAUUGGAAACUAGUGAAGUUGGCGCAAAACCCAGGCAAUUCAUUCCAUAGCCGCUGCCUGUGUGUUAGAGCUUUCAAAAUUGACCUAGCCACUGGCUCGCUGCUGUGUAGAGUAGAGCUGUGCGUGUGCUGUUGUUUCGUGUUCGCUUCGUCGUCACUGUCGUUCCGCUGUAGCCUGUAGCGAUUCGUUGUUUCCAAGUAGAGUUGUGCGUGUGCUGUUGUUUCGUGUUCGCUUCGUCGUCACUGUCGUUCCGCUGUAGCCUGUAGCGUUUCGUUGUUUCGUUGUUUCCAGUAAGUGAAAUUGUUUACCAUUACUGAAGAAGAUCGCUUACCCGAGGUCUUAGGUGCUUACAGUAGUUGAUUCGAUCCCAUGAAGAAAGUUAGAAACUUGAAGAAGAGAUUGGAAAGACCCGUUGAGUUGGAUAAAAUCAACAAUGAGACUAGGGUUCAAGAUGUCGAUUGGAUUUGCUCUCUUUCAGAGUCUGAGAUUGAUUUUAUGAUUAGCUUGAAACUGUUGAUCACAAAGCGAGCAGAAAGGAUAGGGUGUAAAAACUUGGCUGACAGAUUUGACCUUAAGACGAUUCGAGCUAUUGCAUUUGUUUUGAUGGAAAAUCUCAAAACAGAGGUAAAAGAAACAUCACUUGUACCAGACACGGUAAAAUCUACUGCCUUCUUAGAUGCUUGCAACAUACUUAAAUGUAGUAAUGUGGUUUCUGCAACUAUUGAAGAGCUUAGUAAAACUGUUGGUGCUGAUAUACAACCUAUUCUAACAAGGUUACAUACCCUACAAAAUUAGCUUGUAAGGCGGGGGAGUCAACUUAUGUAAACACAUUUUCAGGUCUUAUCGUCAAAUAUGAUACUAUUAAUACAACUCUCUCGAGUCCAAAGAUUGAAUAUCUGAAGUGUGACUUGAGUGAUCGGAUGAGAGUUUCCAAGAUGCGUUGCGCCUCUUGCAAUCGGAUGAGACACCAAAAGUCUAGUAUUCAGUGUCAGAUGGGUGUGUGCUGGCAGUAUUACGUUGGGUGAUAUAUGACCUGAAAGUUUUUGAGUUAUUUCCCUCAUCUUACAAGUCAAUUGUGUAAAGUUAAGUUAGGCCCAAGUUAAAUUCUAAGUAGCUACGAAGGUCUAUCCUUGAUCGGUUGAAUCACACUUCAAAGGUUCAGUCCUGAAUUUGAGGGGUGUGUUAACUAUUCUACAUUAUGACCUGAAAAUGUGUUUAUAAAUGGGAGUUCGACGCCAACUUCCAAACGAAAGAAGCGGAAAGUUGGAAGCAAAGAGUAAGAUUUUAUCCUGGAAGGACCUGAAAUUUAUUCUCCUUAUUUUGUUGUCCUUACAUGUGCUGUGAAAACACUGAUUUUGAGUGUCUCCAUAGGCUAAUUAGCUAGUAUAUUUUUUUAUUUGGUUAGCAUUAAAUAUUUUCUGCAAGAUUGUAUAUAUGUGAGAAAAAACCAGUGCGGAAAAUGAAGAUAUGAAGUUUUGCAAUCUUUCAAUGAGUUUUUUUU